GAUGAAGAACGUAGCGAAAUGCGAUACGUAGUGUGAAUUGCAGAAUUUCGUGAACCAUCAAAUCUUUGAACGCAUAUUGCGCUCGAGGCUUCGGCCGAGAGCAUGUCUGCCUCAGCGUCGGUAUUACCCCUCGCUUCUCAACCCCUGGUUGAUGCCUGCCUGCCUUUGCAGUUGGCUAGAAGCGGAUCUGGCUUUCCCAAUUGCCUUUGGUAGUUGGGUCAGCUGAAGCACAGAGGCUUGAGCAAGGACCCGUAUUGGGCUUCAACUGGAUAGGUAGAACUGGUCUUAGGACCAACUACACGAAGUUGUUGCUUGUGGUCUUUGUCUGGAGGCCAGCAGGAAACCUUUAUACCUUCGACCUGAGCUCAGGCAAGAUUACCCGCUGAACUUAAGCAUAUCAAUAAGCGGAGGA
rnacentral:misc_RNA from 1 species